GGGUGAGUAAUGCCUAGGAAUCUGCCUGGUAGUGGGGGAUAACGUCCGGAAACGGACGCUAAUACCGCAUACGUCCUACGGGAGAAAGCAGGGGACCUUCGGGCCUUGCGCUAUCAGAUGAGCCUAGGUCGGAUUAGCUAGUUGGUGGGGUAAUGGCUCACCAAGGCGACGAUCCGUAACUGGUCUGAGAGGAUGAUCAGUCACACUGGAACUGAGACACGGUCCAGACUCCUACGGGAGGCAGCAGUGGGGAAUAUUGGACAAUGGGCGAAAGCCUGAUCCAGCCAUGCCGCGUGUGUGAAGAAGGUCUUCGGAUUGUAAAGCACUUUAAGUUGGGAGGAAGGGCAGUAAAUUAAUACUUUGCUGUUUUGACGUUACCGACAGAAUAAGCACCGGCUAACUCUGUGCCAGCAGCCGCGGUAAUACAGAGGGUGCAAGCGUUAAUCGGAAUUACUGGGCGUAAAGCGCGCGUAGGUGGUUCGUUAAAGUUGGAUGUGAAAUCCCCGGGCUCAACCUG
rnacentral:rRNA from 1 species